rnacentral:rRNA from 1 species
UGGGGAAUUUUGGACAAUGGACGCAAGUCUGAUCCAGCCAUGCCGCGUGCGGGAAGAAGGCCUUCGGGUUGUAAACCGCUUUUGUCAGGGAUGAAACGGGUUUCUCUAAUACAGAGACUUAACGACGGUACCUGAAGAAUAAGCACCGGCUAACUACGUGCCAGCAGCCGCGGUAAUACGUAGGGUGCAAGCGUUAAUCGGAAUUACUGGGCGUAAAGCGUGCGCAGGCGGUUAUAUAAGACAGAUGUGAAAUCCCCGGGCUCAACCUGGGAACUGCAUUUGUGACUGUAUAGCUAGAGUACGGCAGAGGGGGAUGGAAUUCCGCGUGUAGCAGUGAAAUGCGUAGAUAUGCGGAGGAACACCGAUGGCGAAGGCAAUCCCCUGGGCCUGUACUGACGCUCAUGCACGAAAGCGUGGGGAGCAAACA